CUCUAUAUGUAUAUUACAUGUUCUCAAACAUCGAAAGAGAAAUAUAUGUUUAUGAUGAAUAUUUGUGAAUAGACUGUUCUUAAUUCAUCAUUUUUACAAAUAUUUACUGUAGAUUGUGAAUCAUUAUUUUGUAUUGACAUAAGAUUCUGAUCGAUUAAAUUCUCUCGCUGGUAAUCUGGACCAAUUAUCAUGUUUUGUAUGAAACCAGCAGAUAUUCGAAUAUGUGACGUGUUAUUGAAUAUUCCGUUAAUCUUCGGAAUACAUCAUUUAAAUAAAAUCAUUCCAUAUACAAUCAGCGCACAUAAAGUGUUCAAAUUUAAUUUUUCAAUUAUUUUAAUCCUUCAAUUAAUCUUUCAUCGACUCAUCACUUAAUAAUACCUUUCAUCGAGUCAUCUUCCAAUCUUCCCCUUUCAGUAGUAAUCAAGAACUUGCCACUUACCAUUGAAAAUCCCUUCUAUUAGCGAAAUCCGAUUACAUCGUGGAACACUGUGUAGCUGUUUACUAAUCAAUCGGCUUUACUAAGCGAUCAGCGCUUAAUUGCAUAAUUGAUCGAUCCUUUGACGAAGAUAAUCGAUCGACGAAGAAGCGAUACAAGGCUUAAACGGGCGAUCGUCGUUAAUACUAUUCGUAGAAUUAAAUUGCACAAAAG
rnacentral:misc_RNA from 1 species